rnacentral:pre_miRNA from 1 species
GAACGAAUUGCGGGGCAAAUCUCCUUUGGCAGUAAAGUAUUUUUCAUACACUAAUUUAUCCUAAUAAUAAAUAAUAAAGAUGUAGCGAAAACUAUCUGCCAAUGGAGUAUUUGCCCUGUAAUCCAACU